AACGCACAUUGCACUCUCUGGUAUUCCGGAGAGUAUGCUUGUUUGAGUAUCUGUAAACAUCUCAAAUCUCUCAGCGCUUGCGUUCGAGAGGAUUGGAUUUGAGCGAUCCCGACUCCUUCAUUAGAAAGAGGAGGGUCGCUUGAAAUGCAGAUGCAGCAGGACAUUCUUCUGAGCUAAAAGCAUAUUUAUUUAGUCCCGUCAAACGGAUUAUUACUUUUGCUUCAGCUAACAUAAAGGUCGAAUGCGCCACUAUCGCUGAUUGCAGGAAAACAAUGUCUGUAACAGGACUUUGUAAACUCGAUCUCAAAUCAAGUAAGACUACCCGCUGAACUUAA
rnacentral:misc_RNA from 1 species